UACGAGUGCCCCAAGCGUUAUCCGGAAUCACUGGGCGUAAAGGGUGCGUAGGCGGGUCUUUAAGUCAGGGGUGAAAUCCUGGAGCUCAACUCCAGAACUGCCUUUGAUACUGAGGAUCUUGAGUUCGGGAGAGGUGAGUGGAACUGCGAGUGUAGAGGUGAAAUUCGUAGAUAUUCGCAAGAACACCAGUGGCGAAGGCGGCUCACUGGCCCGAUACUGACGCUGAGGCACGAAAGCGUGGGGAGCAAACAGG
rnacentral:rRNA from 1 species